GAACGAGAAAGUGGAGCAAUCCAUGAGUAAAGUGGCGACCGGGUGAGUAACACGUGACUAACCUACCCUCGAGUGGGGAAUAACCUCGGGAAACCGGGGCUAAUACCGCAUAACAUCUUCGGAUCAAAUGCGUAAGCAGCUUGAGGAGGGGGUCGCGGCCGAUUAGCUAGUUGGCGGGGUAAUGGCCCACCAAGGCAAUGAUCGGUAGCCGGCCUGAGAGGGCGCACGGCCACACUGGAACUGAAACACGGUCCAGACUCCUACGGGAGGCAGCAGUGGGGAAUUUUGCGCAAUGGGGGAAACCCUGACGCAGCAACGCCGCGUGGAGGAUGAAGCCCCUUGGGGUGUAAACUCCUUUCGAUCGGGACGAUUAUGACGGUACCGGAUGAAGAAGCACCGGCUAACUCUGUG
rnacentral:rRNA from 1 species